rnacentral:SRP_RNA from 1 species
GGCAGCUGUGGUGGUUCGUAUCUGCAGUCCCAGCUUCUUGGGAGGCUGAGGCAAGAAGAUCACUUGAGCCCAGGAGUUCUGGGCUGUAGAGAGCUAUGCCAGUUGAGUGUCCACACUAAGUUCGGCACCAAUAUGGUGACCUCCCAGGAGUGGAGGACCACCAAGUUGCGAAAGGGUUAUGGGGUGAACCAACCCAAGUUAGAAAUGGAGCAGCUCAAAACUCCCAUGCUGAUCAGUAGUGGGAUCACACCUGUGAAUAGCCACUGCACACCAGUCUUGGCAACAUAGUGAGACCCUGUAUCU